rnacentral:rRNA from 1 species
UACGUAGGGUGCGAGCGUUAAUCGGAAUUACUGGGCGUAAAGCGUGCGCAGGCGGUGAUGUAAGACCGAUGUGAAAUCCCCGGGCUUAACCUGGGAACUGCAUUUGUGACUGCAUGGCUGGAGUGCGGCAGAGGGGGAUGGAAUUCCGCGUGUAGCAGUGAAAUGCGUAGAUAUGCGGAGGAACACCGAUGGCGAAGGCAAUCCCCGUGGGCCUGCACUGACGCUCAUGCACGAAAGCGUGGGGAGCAAACAGG